UACGGAGGGGGUUAGCGUUGUUCGGAAUUACUGGGCGUAAAGCGCGCGUAGGCGGCACAGCAAGUUAUGGGUGAAAUCCCGGGGCUCAACCCCGGAACUGCCCGUAAAACUGCUGAGCUAGAGACAUGGAGAGGUGAGUAGAAUUCCAAGUGUAGAGGUGAAAUUCGUAGAUAUUUGGAGGAACACCAGUGGCGAAGGCGGCUCACUGGCUCGAUACUGACGCUGAGGUGCGAAAGUGUGGGGAGCAAACAGG
rnacentral:rRNA from 1 species